rnacentral:rRNA from 1 species
UGGGGAAUUUUGGACAAUGGGCGAAGCCUGAUCCAGCAAUGCCGCGUGUGUGAAGAGGGCCUUCGGGUUGUAAAGCACUUUUGUCCGGAAAGAAAUCCUUGGCUCUAAUACAGUCGGGGGAUGACGGUACCGGAAGAAUAAGCACCGGCUAACUACGUGCCAGCAGCCGCGGUAAUACGUAGGGUGCAAGCGUUAAUCGGAAUUACUGGGCGUAAAGCGUGCGCAGGCGGUUUGCUAAGACCGAUGUGAAAUCCCCGGGCUCAACCUGGGAACUGCAUUGGUGACUGGCAGGCUAGAGUAUGGCAGAGGGGGGUAGAAUUCCACGUGUAGCAGUGAAAUGCGUAGAGAUGUGGAGGAAUACCGAUGGCGAAGGCAGCCCCCUGGGCCAAAUACUGACGCUCAUGCACGAAAAGCGUGGGGAGCAAACAGGAUUAGAUACCCUGGUAGUCCACGCCCUAAAACGAUGUCAACUAGUUGUUGGGGAUUCAUUUCCUUAGUAACGUAGCUAACGCGUGAAGUUGACCGCCUGGGGAGUACGUCGCAAGAUUAAAACUCAAAGGAAUUGACGGGGUCAUAGCUGUUUCCU